CCUACGGGAGGCAGCAGUGAGGAAUAUUGGUCAAUGGGCGGGAGCCUGAACCAGCCAAGUCGCGUGAGGGAAGACGGUCCUAUGGAUUGUAAACCUCUUUAGGCGGGGAGCAAUGCCGGGCACGCGUGCCCGGAGGGAGAGUACCCGCAGAAUAAGCAUCGGCUAACUCCGUGCCAGCAGCCGCGGUAAUACGGAGGAUGCGAGCGGUAUCCGGAUUUAUGGGGUUUAAAGGGUGAGUAGGCGGAUUUUUAAGUCAGCGGUAAAAUGUCCGGGCUCAACCCGGGCCGGCCGUUGAAACUGGGGAUCUUGAGUGGGCGAGAAGUAUGCGGAAUGCGUGGUGUAGCGGUGAAAUGCAUAGAUAUCACGCAGAACUCCGAUUGCGAAGGCAGCAUACCGGCGCCCGACUGACGCUGAGGCACGAAAGCGUGGGGAUCGAACAGGAUUAGAUACCCCGGUAGUC
rnacentral:rRNA from 1 species